rnacentral:lncRNA from 12 species
GAGUGUUAGAUUCUUGUAUUGAAACAUUUUUGCAGCAAUAAUUAAAUUUAUGCGUCUUUGUGAAACAUGCAUGUAAAGACAAAAAGCCCCAGGAAGUUCUCUUUCCCUUCAGCCUCUCACAGAGUAACACCAGCCCGGGCCCCCUCCACGCGGCCCAGGCCGGGCAGGGGCAGGUGGGCUCUGUCUCAGAGCUCAGGAAGCUGCUGGGCCCCGUUUUCAACCAGAGACCCCAAUAUCCGGGGAAAGGAAAGGAAAGGAAAGGAAAGGAAAGGCCCGUUGCUAACAUCCCUGCUCCCCCGCUGGUGUGGCCGUGGCUCGGCAGAACCCUGCCCUGCCCCGGCCCCGAGCGGCUCCGAACGGCCGGGCCCGCCCCGCUGCCCCCGGGAGCUGGGGGAAAAACAGCUGAGCCCGUUCUGGCAAGGCCCCCACAGCCUUGUCUGCUGGGCAGGGUGGAGGAAGAACCCCCGGCCCGCAGCUGGAAUUGAGUGCAGCGAGUGCUGGAGAGCAGCCAUGAAACCAGAAACUCAUCACCGCUUCUCUGACUAAACCCUACAGUCCUCACUCAGUCCCCAGCGUGGCCUUGAAAGACUCUUACAUAACUGCGACCGGGGCACCUGGAAAAUAUCACAAAAUCCUCUGCUGCCCGGGUAAGGUAUUAACUAUUUGAAUGCCCAGAAUAAAACUUUACAGAUGCUUUAUUCUCUCUCCUAAAUAAAAGUUAAAAAAAAAAAACCAAAAAACCCAACAACAACAAAAAAAACCCAAAACAAAACAAACAAAAAAGAAAAAACAAACAAACAAAAAAACCCAAACCAAAACAAAACAAUACCCAAAAAAGCAAAAAAAACCCCACCAAAAUGGUGAUACACACAGAAAC